rnacentral:rRNA from 1 species
UUCUAAUAUUUUAAAAAUUAAUUAUAUUAAAUUUACUAAAGUAGUAAGAAUAAAAAUUAAUAAUUUUUUUUAAUUUAAAACUUAAAGAGUUUGGCGGUGCUAUAUAUCCAUUUAGGGGAGUUUGUUAAUUUAUUCGAUAAUCCUCGAUUAAUACUUACUUUUUUUUGAAUAUUUUUAUCAGUUUGUGUAUUGCUGUCGUUAGUUUAUCUUUUAAAAGGUUAGUAAAGAACUUAAUAAUAUUAUUAAUAUUAUUAUGUCAAGUCAAAAUGCAGCUAAUAAAGAAGGUUAAAAAUGAGCUACAAUUUAUAUUAUAUUAUCGGAUUUUUUUUUUUGAUUUAAUUAAAUGAAGAUGGACUUAAUAGUAAUUAAAAUAAUAGUUAGAUUUAAUGAAUAUUGGUUUUGUAGUGUG